GUGGGGAAUAUUGGACAAUGGGCGCAAGCCUGAUCCAGCCAUGCCGCGUGAGUGAUGAAGGCCUUAGGGUUGUAAAGCUCUUUCACCGGUGAAGAUAAUGACGGUAACCGGAGAAGAAGCCCCGGCUAACUUCGUGCCAGCAGCCGCGGUAAUACGAAGGGGGCUAGCGUUGUUCGGAAUUACUGGGCGUAAAGCGCACGUAGGCUGAUAUUUAAGUCAGGGGUGAAAUCCCGGGGCUCAACCCCGGAACUGCCUUUGAUACCGGGUAUCUUGAGUAUGGAAGAGGUCAGUGGAAUUGCGAGUGUAGAGGUGAAAUUCGUAGAUAUUCGCAGGAACACCAGUGGCGAAGGCGGCUGACUGGUCCAUUACUGACGCUGAGGUGCGAAAGCGUGGGGAGCAAACAGGAUUAGAAACCCCAGUAGUCC
rnacentral:rRNA from 1 species